UGGAAGCUUGGCGCUCACUCAGCUCCCAGAAGUUCUCAGAGGGUGAGGGUCCCACAUCUCCUGCAGGACAGGCCCUAGCUACUGAGUCACAGAAACCCAGGGCCGAAGCAAAGUCCCAAUCCCAGAGAGGCUGGGGCACACCUACAACUGAAAGGAGGCUUAGAAAUCCUUCAGAGACCACCCUAUCGGUUCUCCUCCACCUGGACAGGAUGAGCCAGCAACACAGAAGGAAGAGGCCUUCCUCCGAAAGGUAUAUUUGUAAGCCGAGUUGAAUGCUUUGUGGAGAGAGCCCCUAAAAUGGAGCCUGGCAGAUAACAAGCACGAGAUAAACACCAGCUGACUCCACGGAUGGAGGGCACGUGGACGGACUGGGUAUGCAGAAGAGACUCUCUGACUGCAGACUCGGCUGCCACACAUAGAAAUGUCUGCUCCCUGGACCCUCAGACUGCCUCGGUCCCUCCCCCGUGAAACCCACUCCACCAUUUCCACGCACACUCCCAUGCUGUCACCCUCAGGAAGCAUCAUGACAGCUUGAUGCUGGCAGCAACUGUCCAUGAAGAGGGGAAGAGUGACAAUGCAGGAAAGAGAAGAAGACUCAAGACACAAAGUCCUCAGGGGGCGAGGGUCACCUCCUUCUACCAGGCCAGAGAGCAGAACGUGUGGGAACAAGGGCAGGCAAGCUCGUGGAGGUGGUGGUUGAAAGGUGAGAAUUGGAAUAUAAUUUCCAUCCAGGGAAGGAAGUGUCCCCUUUAGAGUAACAACACCUUGGGCACACCAUUAACAAAUGACAGACUUGGGCUCUGCUGCUCAGAGAACUGAAGUCAGAGGAUAGCACAUGCAUUCUUAGCUGAGAAGUUCAUAAGAGCUAUAAGAACCUGUGUGAUGUUUCCUGGAAAGUACUCGGGAACAGGAAUCAGGAAACCUGAGUUUGAGUCCCUUUCUUGCCACCAAAUCCAUCAUCAGAUGACACUUGAACAUGCCUCUCAAAGGAUGAGAUUAGGCAAGAUCAUCUCUCUACCAAACCCUCUUCUCUCACUUCCCAAGAAGAGAGAUUGCCUGGCCCUGCUUGAAUGUCAUGAACAGGUGUGCUGGGGGGUCUAGUCUGGACCAGGUAGCUCCCACCAGGACAGAGCUGCCAACUGCACAUGGAGACCCUGAAGCUUUUUUGGCCUUUAACCAGCUCCUGAGCUGCUGCAACUCACAGAGAAAGGAAAUAGCAUAAUGGGCCAAUGACAAGUUAUAUAAUUUGGUUGAAACUUCAAACAACAGGACCCAUAUGGAUAGGAAAUUAUUUUAAAUGGACUCAAAUGUCUAAUUUACAUAAUCUAUGUUUCUUGUUCAUAUUUGCACCCAGUGGGUGGUUAUAUGAAUAUUUGAAUACUUGAUGACUGAUUAAUAGAAUAUAAUUUGCCAGGACCCUUCACUGUUGAGAAGGGUUUGAACGAACUGCCUUUUUUUUUCUUACCCCAUAUAUGGAAGAAAGUAAAAAAGUUUCAGAAUGAGUUUAGGAUAAUUAUACUACAUCUUAAAUGUUUACAUUUACCAAAACGACACACAAACGCAACACAUCUUAUGUAUAAGCCUCAUUUGGAGUCCGUGUCCAAGGUCCUCUGUGAGGUCCUUGGUGACCCUGGUCCUGACAUUCAUCCUCCCCUACAUGUCAGGGUCUGUUAUUUACAUCUUACAGUUUGGCUACAAAUCCUCCAGCUAAAACUCUUACCAGAUCGGCCAUCAGAAGACCAAGCAUGACUCCCCACCCUCAACUUUGUUCCUCCCUCAACGCGUCACUUUGGGCAGCGUAUUCCCUGGGCCUGGAAAAGGAAAGGAUUGCCUUUCGAUGAACCCCAGCAACGUAACUAAGUUCACUUUUGACUCCUGAUAGGCUUUUUCAUCAAGAAUUUUAAUUU
ensembl:lncRNA LINC00927 long intergenic non-protein coding RNA 927